rnacentral:tRNA from 1 species
CCCUGGCAGCUCUGUUAGUAAAGAAUCUGUCUGUAGUGCAGAAGACCUGGGUUCGAUCCCCAGGUUGGGAA